GCAGGAAUUUUACACACUUCUUCAAAAAUAUUUUUACUUUUUUAAUACUUAAAUAAUGUUAUACAUUUUUAUCUUAGGUCUAGUAUACUAUUAACUACUGAUAUUAUUAACUACUGGCAUUGCUACAUAGAGCCCAAUAAUAAAAAGUAGAAAGAAAAAUGGGGAAGUUAACUCAUGUAAGCCAAAUGCAGGUUUGGUUUAAGCCUGCUUGCUGGCGCCCUUUAACUUCGUAUGGUAAUUAGUUCUAAUUAGUGUUUUAGCGAAUUUAUAAUUUCACCACAAUGUCAAGAGUUAGAACCCUUAAUUUUCUAUAAAAAAUAAAUCAUAUUCACUUGAGGCUUUUGUUUGCUAACCAAACAUUAAAGGAAUCCUUGAAAUUUCUUUAGAAAUUGGCCCUUUUUGGGGUUUUAAAAAAUCUGCAGCUGCCAAGUUUUACCUUUUCCCAUAAACCGCUUUAUGUGGGUGGGUUAACACAAAUGUAGUACAAGCCUAAAAAAGCUGAUGUUCUUUCAUAAAACGUGGAUUGGGGCAAGAGUAUCGCAAAACCACUCCAAAGUAAAUAGAACAGCUCACGUUGGUUUUGAUUAAACAUCUUAGAGAGGAUAGUUGCUGGAGAACAUAAACUAAAUGAAUGAUCAGGACUUUUGCGAAGCAAUGGUAUAAAUAAUUUCUCUCAAGCAUUCUGACUUAUUAUUCUAUUAGUGCAGCGUGGUUUCACUCAGAUUUGAUUUGCUCUCAGCCAAUCAGCAGUCUCAUGUUCGGUAUUCCAAUCAGCUAUAAUUCAGCCAGCAUUAUGACAGUUUAAGAACCAGCUUUAGAGCUUAAUAUGCCAGUGUUUCCGUCGCACGCAUCAGUAAAAGCUGGUGUCCGAAUCCGCGGAUGGACCUGCUCAACUGCAUUGCGAGACACCAACACACCACGCAGAGGACUAAGAAGAGGAAGAAAGAAGAAUAAAAAAAGAAAAAAAAAACAAUGAAAGUAGAAGUGGCAGCAACAAAGGCCUUCACCUGCUGCUUCUCCUUCUUUUGAAAUAUCUUUCCCCUCUUGCCUGUCUCUUGAGUUUGAUUGGCAGGUUCAUCAGGAUGAGAGGAAAAUCACCUGAGAAAUUAAGGCACUGGGUUCCUUAUCAAUCAUAGUGACAGAUGGAAUUGACUAUGGCUUUUGUUUGUGGGUUGGUUUGGCAAGACUUCCCUGGGUCAAUUCCAUCUCAGUAUUUGCAAUUAAAUGUCAAAUGUGAUAGGAAAAAGAAAUUGCAAAUGGGCAUGUAGAUGGAUUGACCACCAUAUUAUUUUUCUGCUUUCAUAAAUUAUUUGAAAAUGAUGCUCUCAGGAAUGAACAGCUAAGGGAGCACACUGCAUGCAUUGGAAUAGAUCAGACAGGAAAAGAAAAAUAUAUGUACAGAUACUGAAAAGAAGUUUCACAUAACUUUGUAAACCAAACGAUACUCUAACAUUGUACAAGGUGACCUGUGAUACACAGGAAAGAUUUAUCCCUCAGUGGUUAAAAUUCAUGUCAGCCCUGGUAGGAGAGUUCAUGUCCACGCUGGAUCUAGUUCAGCUGGGUGCAAGUGACAUGGAUUUUACUAGAAUAACUUACAAAAAGCAAAAUGGAAAGCUUCCAUUUCUAGUGUCAUCACUAAUAUAAAAUCUACACAAGUAAAUAGCUCCAAUACUGAGACAAAUUCAAUUUUGCUUUUGCCAUUCAUCAUGUUAGAGUACCCAGGAAAGUACACUAUUUUCUUUACAGGAAGUAUUUCUCAGUUUUGACAUGGGCUCUUUAAAAUUGGCUUAGAAAACAUUUUUUAAAGCCACCUUUCUUCCCUCCUCUCCAUAUUAUAAAGGGUUUUAUAAAUAUGUUAUACAAUGAUAAACUCAUUGACUAUUUGAUAUCCUGUCAGUAGCAUGGAUCUGACAUCUUUCAGAAGUAAUAGCCUGAUUGGCCAAUGUUUUUCGAUGUAAUUAAAACUGUAGCCUCCAAACUGAAAAUUGUUUGAUAAAUGUGUGUUUUCCCAUUUUGCUUAAAAGGAACCUAUUAUAUGAGCAGCUGCCUUUUGACUGAUAUUAAUGCUAAAGUGAAGUUUAUUAUAUUACAAAUAAA
ensembl:lncRNA